UAGGGGUAGAGGAAGGGGUCCGGGGCUGGAGAGCCGUGGGUCAGGUGAGUGGAGCGAGGUGACUGAGCUGGCACGCGCGCGCACACACACACACACACACACACACACACACACGCACACACACACACACACACACACGGGAAAGUUCGUGGACCCGAAAGCUGGGGCUGGCGGUGCAGUGCGUUAGGGAGCAGGCUGGAGACGUGGUUGAAGAAGCACGAGGACCAGAACCAGGUGAGCAGUCAGCGGGGCAGACGAACCAGGAAGGAGCAGGCAGGCCGGGUAAUCAUAGCCAGACGAAGGAUCUGGAAACCAGCAGGGAAGAGCUCCCGUUGCGAUGCUGGAGAUGGAGAACGCCAAACAGCCACAGGGGACAGGCAGACGGGGACAAGGAAGCGCACAGGCAGAACUUGUGGUCGGGGACAGAAGGCUGAGGCUUUUACAGGGGCAUAGAGACGGGGCAGGAUGGUCAGGGACGAGCAGAGUUAAUACAGGGAAGUCAGUCCAGAGAAGAAGUCUUGCAUGAUACUAAGAACAAUCUGGCAAAGAGCGAGUGAACCGGGGAUGCAUAUAUCCUGUCCUGAUUGGAGAUGGAGUGCAGCUGGGGGCAACAGGUCCCAGUGAGCCAGUGGUAAACAAAUCCAGCUCUCCAACCAAAAUAUUUGUCCUCUGAGGUAAGCUGAAGUUUUCACUUUUAUAGUUUUAAUUAAAAUUUUUGCGUUGUUUGUCAUAAAUCUUUUUUAUCCUCUAGAUAACAAUAUACACAAUAAAACUAAAACUGCAAUAAUUGCUGCAGUUUGCCUUGACGUGUGACAGUAAACCAGCAUGUACGAUACCAACACCCUGAAACUGAAGGAGCUACAUGGAAUUCUGUGAAAUUAAACCUGCGCUGCGAUAAAGGUUAUUGAACAUCAACACAAAGUGGUCUGAACAAGGAGACCUAAGUAAAAUGAAUUCUUUUUAAGCACUGGUCUAAAAGCUUCAGAGGAACUGAUAUUGUUAUUGUAGUACCCUUUUACUGUUCCACACAAGUUUCAUCAGACUUUACAUACACAUACUUUCAUUUAUUAACUCACUCCUGUUAAAAGAGUUACUUGCAUUUUUGCAAUACGUGCACCACAACCCUGUACAAUUCAUGAUAGCAAUAUAUGUGAAACUGCAGGUUUGUCCAGCUCUUGUUUGUAUGCAAUAGCCCAAAGUUUAUAUUUGUUUAGCUUGAUAUCUUUUACUUUUGUCUGUAUCUGUAUUGUCCUGUAGCUUUGUCUGGGCUGUGUAUAAGUAUAUUGAGAAUUACUGAGAAAUGGGGUCAAGUUCCCUGUAUGUGUCACAUGUUUGGCCAAUAAAGUUCUGAUUGAUUUCAGCUGA